GGAGGGGGUUAGCGUUGUUCGGAAUUACUGGGCGUAAAGCGCACGUAGGCGGAUUAGUAAGUUAGAGGUGAAAUCCCAGGGCUCAACCCUGGAACUGCCUUUAAUACUGCUAGUCUUGAGUUCGAGAGAGGUAAGUGGAAUUCCGAGUGUAGAGGUGAAAUUCGUAGAUAUUCGGAGGAACACCAGUGGCGAAGGCGGCUUACUGGCUCGAUACUGACGCUGAGGUGCGAAAGUGUGGGGAGCAAACAGGAUUAGAUACCCUGGUAGUCCACACCGUAAACGAUGAAUGCCAGACGUC
rnacentral:rRNA from 1 species